GCUUGGCUGGUUCAGUUGGUAGAGCGUGAGACUCUUCAUCUUGGGGUUGUGAGUUCAAGCCCCAUGCAGGGUG
rnacentral:tRNA from 1 species